UUUAGUUUAGGCGAUUCAUUCUUCUACUUUUCUAAAAAAAAAAAAAAAAAAAAAAAGAGAAGAAUUGCUGCUGCCAAGAAUCGAUUCGUAAUCAUUCGUUUCCAAAUUUGCAAUCGUCGUCAUCUUAACAUCGUUCGAACUCGCUGUCAUCUUUUAUUUCACUAAUUACCAAGUUUCGGGGUUUCUCUGUGAUCGAUCAACAGAUCAAAGUGAGAUGGAACAUUACGGAUGAAAGAGGAGUCGAAGAUCAUCUUUUGUUAGGGUUAUUUCCUUUCUACCGUUUAAUUUCUUCCUGAUUCCGGAUUCGUUACCGUCUUUAUAUUUACUUCUUUAUUAAUUCGUUACCGGUUUUUUUGGUUCCUUAGGGUGAGGAUUAAUCUGAAGAAAUUGCUUCUUAAUUAGUUCUGUAUCUGGAUUUGUUUCUUUUCCUUUCUGAGAUUUUGAAUUUUACUAAGCAUUUAAGACAUAUGUAGUAUGCGUAGUGAUCUGUUGCUUGUUUUCAUUCAUCUCCUCUCAUGAACCUUUCUAUUGAAUUUGCUCGGAUAUCUCUCAUGGAUGUUAAACACAGUGUCAACAUUUGGAGCUGUUCUUGGCAUGGUCACAGAUAGGAGAAUCAAAUGGUCUUCAGGUUUCUUCUGUUUUUCUUGGUACAUUAAUAUUGCUCAGAAGUGGCGUUUCAGUAACAGCCAACAGCUUAGUUUCAAUCCAUUAGACACUUUUUUGGUUGGAUAACUUUGAUGUUGCAUCAAAAUUGUUACUUUUGUUGUAGAACAAAAAUAAUCUACACUGCCUAUAGUGUUUAGGACCUUGCUUCAGAAAAUCUUUUUAUGUGCAAUCACUUUACCGGAUUUUUGCGCUGCUGAUAUUGACCAUCUCUCUAGAGAAACUGGAGAGGUAGCGAUGGGGGAUAAAGUGACCUGCAAGGUGGCGACUUCUUUGAACUCUGAUAACUGCUUCCUUCAGCAAUGUGGUACUUCCAUGUUCCUUUGACAUGUAAAAACAUAGUACGCAUGAGCAACAAGUACUGUCUGCUUAAGUUGCGGAAUUUUUACGGUUGAUGCAAUAGGAGUGACAUAACAAAGAACUUGUACCAGAGGUUGUUGGAGGAUUCUCUCUUCCAUGGUCAUGUGUUCCGGUCAGACUUAUUUCGCUUUCCCAUUAUCUAGUGAUGCAAAACACUUUAUGAAAGGCACUUGUAAUAGCGUUUUUACAUUUAUUUGUUCCUCUUUGCAUAUUGAAUUCUUAUUUUUGGACGAUACUCUUUCGCAUGGUUUCUCUGUUGUAUGUUCAUGAGUUCUGUUCAGGCUCAUUUCGCUUUUCCAUUCUGUUUAGUGAUCUCUGGUUCAGAUUUUGUAGAACUGAAAUUAUGCAAAACUUUAAUGACUCAUGAAAGGCAGAGAGUGUGUUUCUUGUUUUUUCCCAUCGCUUGUGGAUUGAAGAGGAAGAGAUGGUACAAGACUAGUCUUGGAGUUGGAAGUAUUAUAGGGGAGGAGGAGCCGAAGAUAUUAAGUUAUUUUCACCGAUGAUGGAUCCGUUUAGUAGUGGGAGAACCAAGGACCGUCUAGUAGUGGCAAAGGGCUGGUGCUUUUAGCGGUCUUAACUUCUGCCUUUAAUUCCUCUACCGGGAGAACGAGCUCUCUGGUUGGCCCCAGAUAUUAAAAUGUUACUGAACACUCUUUUUCUGAAACUUAAUCGGUCUUAUUGGAUGCGUUUCAUUCUCUCUCUUGAAUGAAUUACGGUCCCUAGGAAAUUUACAAGCAAAGUUGAGGGGAAGAGGAGUUAUAUAUGAACAUAAGACAUAUGUCAGUCUGAUCUAGCAUUGAGAACCAAGGACCAAGGAAAAGGGCUGCUGCUUUAUCUAUCUUAACUUAUGCCUGUAAUUUUUCUUACGGGAUCAAGUUCUUAGCAAGUUGGUGUUGCUGCAUCAACAUUACUCAAACUUGGGGUUUCAACAUGUUCAAGUGCUUCGACCUGGAUGGAGAUGGGGGUGAUGAUCACUCCCAGUGAAAUGCAAAUUUUCGACAAAAGAGCAGCUGCAUCACAUGAAGGAGAACUGCAUCACACUCCAAGAUCUUAAAGCAUCUAAACUUUCUGGAAAUGUUUUCAAUAUACUCUUCAACCUGAUAAUACUCAUGGCGUUUAAAACUCGUGUCCCUUUUAUAGCUUUUCUGUGGAGUUUUUUACUAGUCUUUGAUGUAUAGCUUUUGCUUGGUGAUGGUUGUGUCUUCUAUCUGUUUUUUUUCUUUUUCUUUUUUUCUUUCUUUUUCUUAAUAGUUUCUUUAGGUCCAGUUAUGGGAUUAAACUUUCUAGUGAUGGAUAUGGUAAACAUGCUAAAUACUGACACCAGAAUGUUCUCCAUGAUCAGGUUCAAAUGCACACACAUAGAUGGAGAUGGGGCCAAACACUCCAAUGAAAUGCAGUUUUUUUCUACGGAGAGCAGCUGCAUCGCAUGGAAUGUUUAACCCAGGAACCUGUACUCUUUGAAGAUAUCCUAUGUCAAAUAUUCGACAUGAUGAAACCAGAGGCAAGAGUUCCUUUAAAAUAUAAUUGUUCUGUUUUUGUUUCUUAUUCGAAACAUUAAUUUGUUGACUGACUCUUUCAUAAGGAGAAAUGCAUCACAUAUUCCCACACUUUUAGGAUUUAUGCUCUCGAUGUAAGUUUCAACAUUUGGAGUUGUUCUUGACAUGGUGGUCACAGUUUCAACAUUUGGAGCUGUUCUUGGCAUGGUCACAUAUAGGAGAAUCAAAUGGCGUUCAAGUUUCUUCUGUUUUUCUUGGAUUGAAAUUAUGCAAAACUUUGGUGACUCAUGAAAGGCAGAGAGUGUGUUGCUUGUUUUUUCCCAUCGCUUGUGGAUUGAAGAGGAAGAGAUGGUACAAGACUAGUCUUGGAGUUGGAAGUAUUAUAGGGGAGGAGGAUUCAAAGAUAUUAAGUUAUUUUCACCGAUGAUAGUUUCUUGUUUAUUUAUGUGUUACAUAUCUUGAUAGGGUGUCAAUGCAUGAUUCAAAUUACGUGUAGAUUUGAUAUUCCAAGAGGAGGGUGACUAAGCCAUGGCUGCCUGUCUCGCUCCUGCUAGGCUAUUGCCAACUCUUGUUUUCUUUAAAACGAGGGACUGCAAAUCUGUAACCUUGUAGUGGUCUUCUUUUGGAAUUACUCCUCAACAGCUUCUCAAAGGAUCACAACAAGCAGCAAUAUGGAUGGGCUUGUCAUAAGGUGAAUGGAGCACAACAAUUGUUCUCAUCAACAAUAUGGAGUGG